UUAUACCUACGGGGCGCAGCAGUGAGGAAUAUUGGUCAAUGGGCGGUAGCCUGAACCAGCUACGUAGCGUGAAGGAUGAAGGUUCUAUGGAUUGUAAACUUCUUUUAUAAAGGAAUAAAGUGAGGCACGUGUGCCUUUUUGUAUGUACUUUAUGAAUAAGGAUCGGCUAACUCCGUGCCAGCAGCCGCGGUAAUACGUAGGAUCCGAGCGUUAUCCGGAUUUACUGGGUGUAAAGGGAGCGUAGACGGGUUGUUAAGUCAGUUGUGAAAGUUUGCGGCUCAACCGUAAAAUUGCAAUUGAUACUG
rnacentral:rRNA from 1 species